UGGGGAAUAUUGGACAAUGGGCGAAAGCCUGAUCCAGCCAUGCCGCGUGAGUGACGAAGGCCUUAGGGUUGUAAAGCUCUUUUGGCGGGGAAGAUAAUGACGGUACCCGCAGAAUAAGCUCCGGCUAACUUCGUGCCAGCAGCCGCGGUAAUACGAAGGGAGCUAGCGUUGUUCGGAAUCACUGGGCGUAAAGCGCACGUAGGCGGAUUUGUCAGUCAGGGGUGAAAUCCCGGGGCUCAACCUCGGAACUGCCUUUGAUACAGCAAGUCUUGAGUUCGAGAGAGGUGGGUGGAAUUCCUAGUGUAGAGGUGAAAUUCGUAGAUAUCAAGAGGAACACCUGAGGUGAAGACGGGUUGCUGGGCUGACACUGACGCUGAGGCGCGAAAGCCAGGGGAGCAAACGGGAUUAGAUACCCCGGUAGUCCCUGAGCGGGCUGGCAAGGCGCAU
rnacentral:rRNA from 1 species